rnacentral:lncRNA from 1 species
AUCUGGCCUGUUCAUCGCGAUGCAAUCUGGGCAAUUCGUGCGCAAUUCAAUCUGGGUUGUCCGUAUGCGUGCAAUCUGUGCCGUCCGUACGCACUUUUGAUCUGGGCUGUUUGUGCGCGUGGGAACGGAUCUCAGUCAUUCGAUCGCGUGCACGUGGAUCGCCCACGUGGCUCCCUUUCGCGUGGCCUCCUGCGUCAGUGUCUCUGCCACGUGGCGUGUCCUGGUUGGCUGGGGCUACUGACGUGGCGUAAUUUUUCUAAAUUGCGUUUUGACCCCCGAUUUUUUAUUUUCUUUUCAAAAACACCCUCAGAACCCAAAUUUUCACC